UAGCAGUGCGGGCAGCUAGAAUGCGAGUCGAGCGAACGAGAACACAGGAGCUUGCUCCUUUGACGUUAGCGGCGGACGGGCUGAGAUAACACGUGGGCAACCUACCCUAUAGUUUGGGAUAACUCCGGGAAACCGGGGCUAAUACCGAAUAAUCUCUUUUGCUUCAUGGUGAAAGACUGAAAGACGGUUUCGGCUGUCGCUAUAGGAUGGGCCCGCGGCGCAUUAGCUAGUUGGUGAGGUAACGGCUCACCAAGGCGACGAUGCGUAGCCGACCUGAGAGGGUGAUCGGCCACACUGGGACUGAGACACGGCCCAGACUCCUACGGGAGGCAGCAGUAGGGAAUCUUCCACAAUGGGCGAAAGCCUGAUGGAGCAACGCCGCGUGAGUGAAGAAGGUUUUCGGAUCGUAAAACUCUGUUGUAAGGGAAGAACAAGUACAGUAGUAACUGGCUGUACCUUGACGGUACCUUAUUAGAAAGCCACGGCUAACUACGUGCCAGCCGCCGCGGUAAUACGUAGGUGGCAAGCGUUGUCCGGAAUUAUUGGGCGUAAAGCGCGCGCAGGCGGUCCUUUAAGUCUGAUGUGAAAGCCCACGGCUCAACCGUGGAGGGUCAUUGGAAACUGGGGGACUUGAGUGCAGAAGAGGAAAGUGGAAUUCCAAGUGUAGCGGUGAAAUGCGUAGAGAUUUGGAGGAACACCAGUGGCGAAGGCGACUUUCUGGUCUGUAACUGACGCUGAGGCGCGAAAGCGUGGGGGAGCAAC
rnacentral:rRNA from 1 species